rnacentral:misc_RNA from 1 species
GAUGAAGAACGUAGCAAAAUGCGAUACUUGGUGUGAAUUGCAGAAUCCCGUGAACCAUCGAGUUUUUGAACGCAAGUUGCGCCCGAAGCCUUUUGGCCGAGGGCACGUCUGCCUGGGCGUCACGCAUCGCGUCGCCCCCCACAAUUCUCCGCAAAGGGAACAUGUGUUUUGGGGGCGGAUAUUGGUCUCCCGUGCUCAUGGCGUGGUUGGCCGAAAUAGGAGUCCUUUCGAUGGACGCACGAACUAGUGGUGGUCGUAAAAACCCUCGUCUUUUGUUUCGUGCUGUUGGUCGCAAGGUAAACUCUUUAAAAACCCCAAUGUGUCGUCUCUUGACGACGCUUCGAUCGCGACCCCAGGUCAGGCGGGACUACCCGCUGAGUUUAAGCAUAUCAAUAAGCGGAGGA